rnacentral:rRNA from 1 species
AAAUUGAAGAGUUUGAUCAUGGCUCAGAUUGAACGCUGGCGGCAGGCCUAACACAUGCAAGUCGAACGGUAACAGGAAGCAGCUUGCUGCUUCGCUGACGAGUGGCGGACGGGUGAGUAAUGUCUGGGAAACUGCCUGAUGGAGGGGGAUAACUACUGGAAACGGUGGCUAAUACCGCAUAACGUCGCAAGACCAAAGAGGGGGACCUUCGGGCCUCUUGCCAUCAGAUGUGCCCAGAUGGGAUUAGCUUGUUGGUGAGGUAACGGCUCACCAAGGCGACGAUCCCUAGCUGGUCUGAGAGGAUGACCAGCCACACUGGAACUGAGACACGGUCCAGACUCCUACGGGAGGCAGCAGUGGGGAAUAUUGCACAAUGGGCGCAAGCCUGAUGCAGCCAUGCCGCGUGUAUGAAGAAGGCCUUCGGGUUGUAAAGUACUUUCAGCGGGGAGGAAGGUGUUGUGGUUAAUAACCACAGCAAUUGACGUUACUCGCAGAAGAAGCACCGGCUAACUCCGUGCCAGCAGCCGCGGUAAUACGGAGGGUGCAAGCGUUAAUCGGAAUUACUGGGCGUAAAGCGCACGCAGGCGGUCUGUCAAGUCGGAUGUGAAAUCCCCGGGCUCAACCUGGGAACUGCAUUCGAAACUGGCAGGCUUGAGUCUUGUAGAGGGGGGUAGAAUUCCAGGUGUAGCGGUGAAAUGCGUAGAGAUCUGGAGGAAUACCGGUGGCGAAGGCGGCCCCCUGGACAAAGACUGACGCUCAGGUGCGAAAGCGUGGGGAGCAAACAGGAUUAGAUACCCUGGUAGUCCACGCCGUAAACGAUGUCUACUUGGAGGUUGUGCCCUUGAGGCGUGGCUUCCGGAGCUAACGCGUUAAGUAGACCGCCUGGGGAGUACGGCCGCAAGGUUAAAACUCAAAUGAAUUGACGGGGGCCCGCACAAGCGGUGGAGCAUGUGGUUUAAUUCGAUGCAACGCGAAGAACCUUACCUGGUCUUGACAUCCACAGAACUUUCCAGAGAUGGACUGGUGCCUUCGGGAACUGUGAGACAGGUGCUGCAUGGCUGUCGUCAGCUCGUGUUGUGAAAUGUUGGGUUAAGUCCCGCAACGAGCGCAACCCUUAUCCUUUGUUGCCAGCGGUCCGGCCGGGAACUCAAAGGAGACUGCCAGUGAUAAACUGGAGGAAGGUGGGGAUGACGUCAAGUCAUCAUGGCCCUUACGACCAGGGCUACACACGUGCUACAAUGGCGCAUACAAAGAGAAGCGACCUCGCGAGAGCAAGCGGACCUCAUAAAGUGCGUCGUAGUCCGGAUUGGAGUCUGCAACUCGACUCCAUGAAGUCGGAAUCGCUAGUAAUCGUGGAUCAGAAUGCCACGGUGAAUACGUUCCCGGGCCUUGUACACACCGCCCGUCACACCAUGGGAGUGGGUUGCAAAAGAAGUAGGUAGCUUAACCUUCGGGAGGGCGCUUACCACUUUGUGAUUCAUGACUGGGGUGAAGUCGUAACAAGGUAACCGUAGGGGAACCUGCGGUUGGAUCACCUCCUUACCUUAAAGAA